rnacentral:tRNA from 1 species
ACCUAGAACUGGAACAGUUCCAGAAAUUUUCUCGUAGUUCCAACGCUAAUUCCGACUUGUGACACUUAGUUCCAGGCCAGUUCUAGGUU